UAGGGAAUCUUCCGCAAUGGACGCAAGUCUGACGGAGCAACGCCGCGUGAGUGAAGAAGGAUUUCGGUUCGUAAAACUCUGUUGUUAGAGAAGAACAGCGCAUAGAGUAACUGUUAUGCGUGUGACGGUAUCUAACCAGAAAGCCACGGCUAACUACGUGCCAGCAGCCGCGGUAAUACGUAGGUGGCAAGCGUUGUCCGGAUUUAUUGGGCGUAAAGCGAGCGCAGGCGGUCAAUUAAGUCUGAUGUGAAAGCCCCCGGCUCAACCGGGGAGAGUCAUUGGAAACUGGUUGACUUGAGUGCAGAAGAGGAGAGUGGAAUUCCAUGUGUAGCGGUGAAAUACAUAGAUAUAUGGAGGAACACCAGUGGCGAAGGCGACUCUCUGGUCUGUAACUGACGCUGAGGCUCGAAAGCGUGGGUAGCAAACAGG
rnacentral:rRNA from 1 species